GAACGAACGCUGGCGGCAUGCCUAACACAUGCAAGUCGAACGAGACCUUCGGGUCUAGUGGCGCACGGGUGCGUAACGCGUGGGAAUCUGCCCUUCGGUUCGGAAUAACAGUUAGAAAUGACUGCUAAUACCGGAUAAUGACGUAAGUCCAAAGAUUUAUCGCCGAAGGAUGAGCCCGCGUAAGAUUAGCUUGUUGGUGAGGUAAAGGCUCA
rnacentral:rRNA from 1 species